AGGAGGUAAUAAAAAUUAGUUCUCUCUUUUUUCUAUUCAAUUGGAUCCUCUUAUGAUGUGUAGGGAUACCAUUAUGACUAUAUCCUAUGAAGAUGAAUGUGAAAAGAAAACUUUACUUUUCUCAAAAUUUUAAGAUAGUGUAUAUGAUAUAUUGUAUGAAAAGUAGUUGUAUCUAAUCUUUGCAAAUAAAAUCUAGAAUCAUGAAUAUAUUUAGAAUAGUUCUAAAAUAAUUUAUAAUUAAUUUUAUUACUAUUUAUAUAAAAUUAUUUUAAUUUAAAAUUAAUAUAAUUAUUAUAGUUCGCCUGUUG
rnacentral:lncRNA from 1 species